GCAGUUGUAGUAUAAUGGUUAGUACCCCACGUUGUGGCCGUGGUGAUCCGGGUUCGAUUCCCGGCAACUGCA